rnacentral:rRNA from 1 species
GAUGAACGCUGGCGGCGUGCCUAAUACAUGCAAGUCGAGCGAACAGACGAGGAGCUUGCUCCUCUGACGUUAGCGGCGGACGGGUGAGUAACACGUCGAUAACCUACCUAUAAGACUGGGAUAACUUCGGGAAACCGGAGCUAAUACCGGAUAAUAUAUUGAACCGCAUGGUUCAAUAGUGAAAGACGGUUUUGCUGUCACUUAUAGAUGGAUCCGCGCCGCAUUAGCUAGUUGGUAAGGUAACGGCUUACCAAGGCAACGAUGCAUAGCCGACCUGAGAGGGUGAUCGGCCACACUGGAACUGAGACACGGUCCAGACUCCUACGGGAGGCAGCAGUAGGGAAUCUUCCGCAAUGGGCGAAAGCCUGACGGAGCAACGCCGCGUGAGUGAUGAAGGUCUUCGGAUCGUAAAACUCUGUUAUUAGGGAAGAACAAAUGUGUAAGUAACUAUGCACGUCUUGACGGUACCUAAUCAGAAAGCCACGGCUAACUACGUG